rnacentral:rRNA from 1 species
UGGGUCCCGUUCGGGUACCGUUACCGGUUCGGGUACCUAAGUCCUUAAUUUUGGGUUAUUUCCUUUCCUUCGUAGAAAACUACGAUGUCAUUAAUUUGGUGUCGUGGGGAAUCAGGACUGUUACUUUGAAAAAUUAGAGUGUUUAAAGCAGGCUCACGCUUGAAUACAUUAGCAUGGAAUAAUGAAAUAGGACGUUUGAUUCUAUUUUGUUGGUUUCUAGGAUCGACGUAAUGAUUAAUAGGGAUAGUUGGGGGCAUUAGUAUUCAAUUGUCAGAGGUGAAAUUCUUGGAUUUAUUGAAGACUAACUACUGCGAAAGCAUUUGCCAAGGAUGUUUUCAUUAAUCAAGAACGAAAGUUAGGGGAUCGAAGACGAUCAGAUACCGUCGUAGUCUUAACCAUAAACUAUGCCGACUAGGGAUCGGAUGAUGUUAAUUUUUAAUGACUC